rnacentral:rRNA from 1 species
GACGAACGCUGGCGGCGUGCUUAACACAUGCAAGUCGAACGGAAAGGCCCUGCUUUUGUGGGGUGCUCGAGUGGCGAACGGGUGAGUAACACGUGAGUAACCUGCCCUUGACUUUGGGAUAACUUCAGGAAACUGGGGCUAAUACCGGAUAGGAGCUCCUGCUGCAUGGUGGGGGUUGGAAAGUUUCGGCGGUUGGGGAUGGACUCGCGGCUUAUCAGCUUGUUGGUGGGGUAGUGGCUUACCAAGGCUUUGACGGGUAGCCGGCCUGAGAGGGUGACCGGCCACAUUGGGACUGAGAUACGGCCCAGACUCCUACGGGAGGCAGCAGUGGGGAAUAUUGCACAAUGGGCGGAUGCCUGAUGCAGCAACGCCGCGUGCGGGAUGACGGCCUUCGGGUUGUAAACCGCUUUCGCCUGUGACGAAGCGUGAGUGUCGGUAAUGGGUAAAGAAGCACCGGCUAACUACGUG